CGAGGUGAAAGCUUUUUGGCAGAGGCGGACUUUACCAUUAGGCAAAGGUCGGCAAUUGCCUUGGGCCCCGAGCUACCUAGGGGCCCCCAAAAUGCCCCAUUAACUUAUGCUUAAGGUUUUUUUUUUUUUUUACUUUUCGCAAAUUAUAUAUUUCUAAAACUCCAUUUGCGAAAAAUGGCAUCAAAUCAUUAGUUUCGCAGACCGGAGGGCCCCCCCCCACCUCACUACAUGAUUGGACUAUUCCAUUAUCUCACUUACUGCGCAUCUGCGAAAGUGACAAGGCUGUAAUGCGCCAAAAUACGGGAAAAAAAAGUGACAGACAGACAGGGUGCGUGUGUAGAGUAACAGACAGUGUACAGAGUAGAGCUACAAUGAAGCCAAACUACCCAAGUGGUGCUGAAAAAAGGAGGAAACGGGAGGAAAGCAACGGCAACAGUGCCAGCCCAGGCUGCUCAAGUGAUAUUGCUGCUAACGUUAUGGAUAUGGAAUCAGUGAUAACAAGAUUUGCUGAGGCCAAAGCUCGCAAGGUCAGAUUGUAGCGCUUUAGACAUGACAAUACAGACACUCACACACACACAGACACUCUCACAC